GACGAACGCUGGCGGCGUGCUUAACACAUGCAAGUCGAACGGUAAGGCUCCAGCUUGCUGGGGUACACGAGUGGCGAACGGGUGGGUAACACGUGGGUGACCUGCCCUGCACUUCGGGAUAAGCCUGGGAAACUGGGUCUAAUACCGGAUAGGACCGCACCGUGAGGGUGUGGUGGAAAGUUUUUUCGGUGUGGGAUGGGCCCGCGGCCUAUCAGCUUGUUGGUGGGGUAAUGGCCUACCAAGGCGGCGACGGGUAGCCGGCCUGAGAGGGUGGACGGCCACAUUGGGACUGAGACACGGCCCAGACUCCUACGGGAGGCAGCAGUGGGGAAUAUUGCACAAUGGGCGGAAGCCUGAUGCAGCGACGCCGCGUGGGGGAUGACGGCCUUCGGGUUGUAAACUCCUUUCACCAUCGACGAAGGGUUUCUGACGGUAGAUGGAGAAGAAGCACCGGCUAACUACGUG
rnacentral:rRNA from 1 species